UCUCCGUAGGUGAACCUGCGGAGGGCUCAUUACAAGAGCGAGGGCCCUCGUGGCCCGAACCUCCAACCCCAUGUUGUCCGACUCUGUUGCCUCGGGGGCGACCCGGCCUUCGGGCGUCUUGGGGCCCCCGGUGGACCACUCAACACUGCAUCUUUGCGUCUGAGUAAAUAUUUGAAUCAAUCAAAACUUUCAACAACGGAUCUCUUGGUUCCAGCAUCGAUGAAGAACGCAGC
rnacentral:misc_RNA from 1 species